GUUGGAGACCUUUGUGAUGUCCUCAUGCGGCUGAGGAUGGGCUAAGGCUAAUACUUGCCUCUGCAAAUCUAGAACUCUGCCCAUCAAUCUCAGAACACAUCCCUCAAGCUCCUCAAAUCGUACGGACUAAGCUAUGAGCAUCUGAAAAAUAGUAGAGAUAUGAGGGAUCAAAGUCUGAUCUGGUCAUCUUGAGAUGUCGACCUCUGAGCAAAGACUAAGGUGGCAAACUGCUGAGAUAAAAUAGAGGCAACACGCUGGGACAUUAGCUCAAUCUGAUCAUCUGCAAGUCUGAACUCUGAAGGAUGUACCCUGCUUCCUGAUUGUAGAACUGAAGCAUGCCUCUUCACUGACACUGAGGGACCAAUCUCGUGAUCAGACAUGAACUGAAUAUCAGGAGAUAUUCUGUGAUCACGAGGAGGUGAAGACAGUCUCUCCUCCUCUGCUCUCUCCUCAAUACCCUUUGACCAACUGCCAUC
rnacentral:lncRNA from 1 species